CCAGACUAGACUAUAUUAGUUUUCUUCAAUAGCAAACUCAAGUUACCUUGCCUCCAAAGAUUUCGGUAAAACACCAUAAUUGGCAAAAAGUUCUGGCAAAAUAGCAUUGAAGUGAAAUUACACAUGUAUACAACGAAGUUAAAAAGGAGGAGAAGAAAGAGAGGCACCAAUCCAUUAAAGGCUUUUACAGGUGAAUCUGUAUAGAAGAGAGUGAAAACUCACACCUUUUAUAAUUCAGCUUUGUACCAUCGGAUCAGUAGAUAAGACAAUCUAUCUCCUUUUCUUUAUUGGAACGGACAAUCAAGGUUCGCAAAUUCGUACCGUACUGGAAUUUCGACGUUAGCUCGGUACGGUACGAUAUUGUAUACCGAGUGGUAUACCGCUCGGUAUAUAUAUAUAUAUAUAUAUAUAUAUAUAUAUAUAUAUAUCUCAUUCCGUCCGGCAACGAGCGAUCCGUGUACCGGUCAGCUGACGGACCGGUACGUACUGCUCGUACCGGAUGGUAUUAUUCGAAAUUGCAUACCUUACGGACAAUAAAUAUUUUUUCCCCUUAUUCAUGAUUUUUUAAGAAAACUUAAUUUGCACCUAUCAAUGAAGUUAAGAUCGGUAAGCACCUGCAGUGCAUACACUAGACAAUAAUGGACAAAAUUAUGGUCCAUACUGAGUGGUGCUGGACUAACAAUGGUCAUAGAACUAGCUGAUGAGGGAUGAUAUCAAGCUCCUGUAUUCAGAACUGAAGCUCAGGAAAAACCCUCGAGGAUAUAAACACAGACAGACCCAUGGUUUAUGUAGCAACCCAACAUUCAAGUUUCGCAUAGGGAAACUUUCAUCUUUAGGAUAUGCAAAGGGAAGGCAAAAUCUUGACUAUUUGGAAGAACGAAGGGCUCUUGGGCAAAAGCAUGGACUCUAGAAGUAAAUUUCUUAUACCAAGGCCAACCAAUGACGUGUGGAUGCAUGAUUGUAAGUCUUUGUCAAUUACUUCAGUCAAAAAAGUAGGAUUUAAGAAAUAGAAGCCUGAGAAACAUGCAACUGCACUUGUGUGUACCUAUUCUGCCUUAACUGUGAAGGGCGUGUGCUAGCCGGUGCAGAGCAUGAGGCUUGACGUGAACCAAGAUCACUCGAUUGUAUUGAGCAUUUCAUAGAUGGCACUGUUGAGUAAACAAUACAGAAUAAUUAAAGGGAAACAUCUCCUGACAAACAUAUACAGCACAGUCAAACAAUGCAAAGGCACAAUUUAGCGCAUAGCAGACCUGAAGUUGAAGUAUUACUUAUAUCAUGGUGUCCCACAUCUGUUGGAGUCAUUGUUCUGCUUGAUGAACUUAAGUUUUGUCUCUUCUUCAUCCUUUCUGCUUCAUCUUGCAACUCUUGCUGUCGAAUCCUUAUCUGUGCUUCUAUAACCUUCUGCUCUUCCUGCACAUAGGCAUAACCAAUGGUGAAGAAGACCUAUUUUACAAGGAACAGAACACUUGCAAAUUUCAAGACGUAUGUCAGGCUAAUAUGGUAAAGAACUUACGACUUGCUCCAUGCCCUUUUCCUCUUUCGUCUUUGCACCAUGGUAUUCCACCGCAUAAUUUGAAGUUUUACAGAAGGGGCAUCUUUUAUGUUAAGUAGAAAUCAUUUAGAAGGGUUAAUUAAGGAUAGGCUACAAUAAGAAUCAGUUCCAUCAACAAAUGAGACAAAGGAUACUGUGAUGGGCGAGUUGAAUGUGGUGGUUUCAUCUGAAGAAAGCACUCUGCAGAAGAAUCCAGCUCGAGAGAUGGAACGAAAAAGACAUGGAUACAGACAAUCCAGAAAUCUGAAAGAAAAUAUUCUUCGACAUAAAAAAAGAGAAAAGGGAAAAGGGAAAACUGAAGUACCUGUGCAUAUGCCCUUCAUGC
rnacentral:lncRNA from 1 species